rnacentral:rRNA from 1 species
UCCAGAGGGUGCGAGCGUUAAUCGGAAUUACUGGGCGUAAAGCGUGCGCAGGCGGUGAGUUAAGUCAGGUGUGAAAUCCCCGGGCUUAACCUGGGAACUGCAUUUGUGACUGCAUCGCUGGAGUGCGGCAGAGGGGGAUGGAAUUCCGCGUGUAGCAGUGAAAUGCGUAGAUAUGCGGAGGAACACCGAUGGCGAAGGCAAUCCCCUGGGCCUGCACUGACGCUCAUGCACGAAAGCGUGGGGAGCAAACAGG